AUUGAACGCUGGCGGCAGGCCUAACACAUGCAAGUCGAACGGUAACAGGAAACAGCUUGCUGUUUCGCUGACGAGUGGCGGACGGGUGAGUAAUGUCUGGGAAACUGCCUGAUGGAGGGGGAUAACUACUGGAAACGGUAGCUAAUACCGCAUAACGUCGCAAGACCAAAGAGGGGGACCUUCGGGCCUCUUGCCAUCGGAUGUGCCCAGAUGGGAUUAGCUAGUAGGUGGGGUAACGGCUCACCUAGGCGACGAUCCCUAGCUGGUCUGAGAGGAUGACCAGCCACACUGGAACUGAGACACGGUCCAGACUCCUACGGGAGGCAGCAGUGGGGAAUAUUGCACAAUGGGCGCAAGCCUGAUGCAGCCAUGCCGCGUGUAUGAAGAAGGCCUUCGGGUUGUAAAGUACUUUCAGCGGGGAGGAAGGGAGUAAAGUUAAUACCUCUGCUCAUUGACGUUACCCGCAGAAGAAGCACCGGCUAACUCCGUG
rnacentral:rRNA from 1 species